rnacentral:rRNA from 1 species
UACGGGGGGGGCAAGCGUUGUUCGGAAUUACUGGGCGUAAAGGGUUUGUAGGUGGCCCGCUAAGUCACACGUGAAAUCCCUCAGCUUAACUGGGGAACUGCGUGUGAGACUGGCAGGCUCGAGGGCAGGAGAGGAACGCGGAAUUCCAGGUGUAGCGGUGAAAUGCGUAGAUAUCAGGAGGAACACCGGUGGCGAAGGCGGAUCUCUGGGCCAUUACUGACGCUGAGGAGCGAAAGCGUGGGGAGCGAACAGG